GGAGCGGUGGCCGAGCGGCUUAAGGCGGCGGUCUUGAAAACCGCUGUGCCGAAAGGCACCGGGGGUUCGAAUCCCUCCCGCUCCG
rnacentral:tRNA from 1 species